rnacentral:rRNA from 1 species
GCCCUAGUAACGGCGAGUGAAGCGGCAACAGCUCAAAUUUGAAAUCUGGCCUCGGCCCGAGUUGUAAUUUGUAGAGGAAGCUUUUGGCGCGGCACCUUCUGAGUCCCCUGGAACGGGGCGCCAUAGAGGGUGAGAGCCCCGUAUAGUUGGAUGCCUAGCCUCUGUAAAGCUCCUUCGACGAGUCGAGUAGUUUGGGAAUGCUGCUCAAAAUGGGAGGUAAAUUUCUUCUAAAGCUAAAUACCGGCCAGAGACCGAUAGCGCACAAGUAGAGUGAUCGAAAGAUGAAAAGCACUUUGAAAAGAGGGUUAAAUAGCACGUGAAAUUGUUGAAAGGGAAGCGCUUGUGACCAGACUUGCGCCGGGCUGAUCAUCCGGUGUUCUCACCGGUGCACUCUGCCCGGCUCAGGCCAGCAUCGGUUCUCGCGGGGGGACAAAGGCCCUGGGAACGUAGCUCCUCCGGGAGUGUUAUAGCCCAGGGCGUAAUGCCCUCGCGGGGACCGAGGUUCGCGCUCUGCAAGGAUGCUGGCGUAAUGGUCACCAGCGACCCGUCUUGAAACACGGACCAAGGAGUCAAGGUUUUGCGCGAGUGUUUGGGUGUAAAACCCGCACGCGUAAUGAAAGUGAACGUAGGUGAGAGCUUCGGCGCAUCAUCGACCGAUCCUGAUGUAUUCGGAUGGAUUUGAGUAGGAGCGUUAAGCCUUGGACCCGAAAGAUGGUGAACUAUGCUUGGAUAGGGUGAAGCCAGAGGAAACUCUGGUGGAGGCUCGCAGCGGUUCUGACGUGCAAAUCGAUCGUCAAAUCUGAGCAU